rnacentral:rRNA from 1 species
CUGGCUCAGGAUGAACGCUGGCGGCGUGCUUAACACAUGCAAGUCGAACGAAGCACUUAAGAAGAUUUCUUCGGAUUGAAUCUUUGUGACUUAGUGGCGGACGGGUGAGUAACGCGUGGGCAACCUGCCUCUGUCUGGGGGAUAACAGUUAGAAAUGACUGCUAAUACCGCAUAAGCGCACAUUACCGCAUGGUAGAGUGUGAAAAACGUUAGUGGACAGAGAUGGACCCGCGUUAGAUUAGCCAGUUGGUGGGGUAACGGCCUACCAAAGCGACGAUCUAUAGCCGGCCUGAGAGGGCGACCGGCCACAUUGGGACUGAGACACGGCCCAAACUCCUACGGGAGGCAGCAGUGGGGAAUAUUGCACAAUGGGGGAAACCCUGAUGCAAGCGACGCCGCGUGAGUGAAGAAGUAUUUCGGUAUGUAAAGCUCUAUCAGCAGGGAAGAAAAUGACGGUACCUGACUAAGAAGCCCCGGCUAACUACGUGCCAGCAGCCGC